AGCUGUUUCGAGAAGAGUGAGGACACUUGUAGCGGGGCUUCGGCUCUUCUACGAGAGAAAUCACGUUAAUCGCA
rnacentral:rRNA from 2 species